AGAGUUUGAUCAUGGCUCAGAUUGAACGCUGGCGGAAUGCUUUACACAUGCAAGUCGAGCGGCAGCGCGGGGCNNCCUGGCGGCGAGCGCGAACGGGUGAGUAAUGCAUCGGAACGUGUCCAUGUCGUGGGGGAUAGCCCGGCGAAAGCCGGAUUAAUACCCAUACGCCCGAGAGGGGAAAGUGGGGGACCGCAAGCCUCACGCGAUUGGAUCGGCCGAUGUCCGAUUAGCUAGUUGGCGGGGUAAAGGCCCACCAAGGCGAUGAUCGGUAGCUGGUCUGAAGAGGAUGAUCAGCCACACUGGGACUGAGACACGGCCCAGACUCCUACGGGAGGCAGCAGUGGGGAAUUUUGGACAAUGGGGGCAACCCUGAUCCAGCCAUUCCGCGUGAGUGAAGAAGGCCUUCGGGUUGUAAAGCUCUUUUGUCCGGAACGAAACGGGCGACGUGAAUAUCGUCGUCUACUGACGGUACCGGGAGAAUAAGCACCGGCUAACUACGUGCCAGCAGCCGCGGUAAUACGUAGGGUGCGAGCGUUAAUCGGAAUUACUGGGCGUAAAGCGUGCGCAGGCGGUUUUGUAAGCCGGAUGUGAAACCCCCGGGCUUAACCUGGGAAUGGCAUUCGGGACUGCAAGGCUGGAGUGCGGCAGAGGAGACUGGAAUUCCUGGUAGCAGUGAAAUGCGUAGAUAUCAGGAGGAACACCGAUGGCGAAGGCAGGUCUCUGGGCUGACACUGACGCUCAUGCACGAAAGCGUGGGGAGCAAACAGGAUUAGAUACCCUAGUAGUCC
rnacentral:rRNA from 1 species